ensembl:lincRNA
GGUGGCUCAUGCCUGUAAUCCCAGUAUUCUGGGAGGCUGAGGCAGGAGGAUCGCAAGUUCGAGCUUAGCCUGGGAGACUUAGUGAGAGUCUUUCAAAAUUUUUUAAAAAAUGCUGGGAUGUAGCUCAGUGUAAAGGCCUUGGAUUCAAUCCGCAGUACUAAGGAAAAAAAAGUCAAUAAAUUUAAAUGCAACUGUAUUUUAUCCUAUGACUCGAACCCAAAUGGAAAAUUCUGUCCCUUUCUCCUCAGUGGAGGCACCGAGAUGAAGAGCACAGAACAGAGGUGGGGGCAGAUGAGGCCCAGAUGUGCCACCCACUCCUGUGUGACCUUGAGCAGCUCCGUUCCCCUCUCUGAGAGCCUCAGUUUAUGGCAAGGUGCCCUGUGAGGUUGACGAGUAUUAGAAAUAACCCUAUGCACAAUGCGCUACCCAAUGGGACGGGGGUGGAGAGAAUGCGGAUGAAGACGUUCGCAAAGAAGCCCGAGAUGGCCCCUUCUUCAUGGAACCUUCCUACAGAAAGAAAUCCGCGCGGGCCUGGGAAAGAGUUGCGCCUGGGCCUUGUGUCAGGAAGAGCUAUGGCGAUUCCCUGGCCACGCCAGACACGUGCAUCCCCUCCCACCACAAGUGACUCUUUGGGGAAUCCUGGGGAAUCGGCAGCCUCUUGGGGACCUCGGGACAAGUCUCAGCAUCUGGCCAGGAGUAUGAUGUUCACCUCCAAUGUAGAGACAAGGUCAUUGGUACCCAGAGCAGCCGAGGAAGAGCCUAGCUUACAGGCCAGGCGGGAGUCAUUUGCAACAGCGGCCUCAGUCUUCCACGGGUCUGAACAUCUACGUCUCGUGUGAAAAUUAAUUAGAUGUCCUCUGCCUUACAGUGGUUCUGAUAUAGGAGAUAGGGCACGGCGAAGCUGAGCAGGACCUGUCAAUCACAAGAUCUCCAGGCAACGCGAGGACCCGUAUGUGGAACUUCUCGCGAGCUCACAGGAGAUGCGGCCGAUAUACGAGAGGAGCAGCCAUCGCGGAAAGUCGCAAUCUUGUCUGAGUUUGUGUGGUGGUUUGUCUGGCAUCUCUGUUAUAUCGCGCACUUUUAUUUUUGCUUUUACCCUCUUUUGCUCUUUGUUCAGCUCGCGUUCGCUCUGCAGAGCUGGUUUCUUCCCUAUUCAGUCACUUUUCAAAUAAACUUUUGACGCUGGUAUUGACUUGUUUCGUCCAAUUCUUUGUUCGAGGCAAAAAGGGCCCGGCAAUACUUUUGAUAGGCGAGCCAUUUCUUUUAAAACUACCCUAUAACACUUCAACUUAAUGAUUUUUAACUUUACGAUGAUGAGAAAGAGUGAAUUCAGUCGGUACCAAGCUUUAAAUUAUGACCUUUCCCCAAGCUGGCCAUAUGCGGUACCCGCUCCUGCAAAUCGGGCCAGCAGCAGCUCGGGGAGGCGGGGAGGCGAUUAGUGUCUGGCAUGUGUUGUGUUGCUAAGCUAGGAUGUUCAGGAGGUGAGAUGUGUUACAAUGCAUAUUUAACUUAACAAUAUUUUCAAUUUACUACAGACUUAUUGGAAUAUAACCCUAUCAUGUGUCGACUGAACACAUAGUUAAAUUGCUAUGGGCAAGGCGGAAGUUGAAAUUGCUCACUCAGGGUCCACCAUUGGUAAGUGAAAUCACCAGACUAUGAAUGCAGAGUUGGGCUCUAGAGACUGUGCUGUGUGUGUCUUGGCGAUGCUGGUGCAAUGUGACUCUGUCAAGUGCUGGGAGAAGGAAGGGUCGGGCUGACUCUGGUGCUCCGCAGGGAGGAUUUGGAGCAGUGGACACAGCCAAGCUAUAGGGAGGAUCGCCUGGAUCGCUGUAGGGCAGAAUGAGUGCAUAGGCUGGCUGAGAUGGUGUGACAUUGGGAAAUACACAUUGAGCUUAGUCCUCCUGCCUGGUGUGUAACUCCUGCCGUCCUUGGUGUCUUCAGAGUGAUUGUUUUUUUUUUUUUUUUUUGUACACUAGCGAAUGGACAGCUGGCAGCCCCUGGGAGUUCAGUUUGGGGCUGGUUCAGGAAGGACAGAGGUGAGAUGAGAGAGCUGAGACUUGGAGCCCACCCCUGGUUCUGGGGAGGGGACAGGGUGAAAGUUGGGUUGAUCACCAACAGCCACUGAUUUAAUUAGUCUUUAAAUCAGUAAUGGAGCCUCCAUAAAACCCUACAUGACCA